rnacentral:rRNA from 1 species
UACGGGGGGGGCAAGCGUUGUUCGGAAUUACUGGGCGUAACGGGCGCGUAGGCGGCCUCCUAAGUCGGACGUGAAAUCCCUCGGCUCAACCGAGGAACUGCGUCCGAUACUGGCAGGCUGGAAUCCGGGAGAGGGAUGUGGAAUUCCAGGUGUAGCGGUGAAAUGCGUAGAUAUCUGGAGGAACACCGGUGGCGAAGGCGGCAUCCUGGACCGGUAUUGACGCUGAGGCGCGAAAGCUAGGGGAGCAAACGGG